CAGUGUUUUAAGAUAGAGAGAAUGGUGAACACUAAUGAAUGAAUGGUGUUUAAAAGUUUAGAAAGUGGGAAUUAUCUACUUGAGAGACAGAGACAAAGAUGCUACAGUGGGAAUAACUGAAGGAACAAAUGUGUUGAGGAAGUAAGGACGACAUUAGAAGAAACUGACAUCAGAGGACAGCAGGGUCACAUUCUUUGCUGUAAAAAGGAUAAACAAGAAGAAAUUGGAUACAGAACGUGGUGAGGAGAGAAGAAGAAACACAGAGGUCCAUCCUGCUUUCCCUGUGAAACAGAGAGCACCUGAUUGGAACAGAUUACACAGACUACAGAGGAGAAAUAUUGAUCGAGAGACUGUGUUUCCUGCAAGUUGGUCAAGUUUCUAAUCCUGGUGUGUUUAAGUAGGCAGCAUACUCUUCGUAAGAUGGUUGUUUAAGAUUGUAUGGGAUAGGGCUUCAGUUACAACUGCACAUAUCUUAAAUUACUUGUAACUCUGAGACUUGAUAAAACAAAUAAAAUAACAAAUUUUCUUUCUG
rnacentral:lncRNA from 1 species